ACACACGCGUUUUUCCCAGCCAGCCCCGUUCCCCUCGGUUCCCCCCUCCCCGGUGCCUCCCGCAGCCGGCUCAGCGCCCGGCCCGCCCGUGCAUCGCGGGAGCGCCUUGACAGCACUUGCGCCCGCGGCCAGGACAGCGCGGGGACUCGGAGCCGGGGAGCAGAACAAGGGCAUGGGAACUGCAUCUGUGCACGCUGGCAUCCUUGUCCGUUCCUCACGUGGUAUUUGGUAUUUGGAGCCUGCAGCACAGCACCUUUGCCAGGCACACUGACUGUCAGUGCUUGGGGCUUUGGGGGAGCCCACAAGGGACCUGCAGAGAUUUUGACAAGUCUUACAUGUUUUCUGCUCCAUUCUUUGGGUCAAGAACACGCUGGUUAAUAGCCAAUUAUUUCAUACCCUAAGGAAGUUUUGGGAAAGAAGUUCCUGAGAAGACAACUUGUUUUAGGAAAUCGGGCUAAUAUUCAGUAGAGAACACAGACCUGUUUCCCUGAAUGCUGGAGGAAUCAAACAAAAAGCAGCAGCAUCUUUGCUCACGGCUUCUGCCUUUAUAUGCUUGCUCUGUCAGGCUGAAAAGUUACUACAGGAACUGCCCUGGGCCACCAGUUGCAAAGCUGUCAAAACUUUAAAGGAAAACACAAAGAAGGAAACAUGGGACAGCCUCCUGCUCCUCUCCCACCCCCCGUAAUGUCAUGAGUAUUUUCAACAAGCAAAACUGACCUGCACGUUCCACUCAUAGCUAAUCAUCAUAACGGAAACUACAGUGCAUUCAUCAUUUUCCUUGAAGUUUGCAGCACAAAGUAAUCGUGCAUGACCAAUUUUUGCUCUUGGAAGAAUUUUACCUUGUGGCUACAUUCUGUUUGAGAUGAUUUCAAGGAAUACUUUUAUCAUCUACAGGCUUUUCAAUGGUUCAACGGGGUUAUUGAACAAGCAAGCACUGACUGUGUAAUACUUAGAAUGUGAAAACCAAGUCAGAGUGAAAACCAUGCUGAUCAAAAUUACAGGAGGAUGACCCAGGAUUUUAAAUAAUACAGCAAGUACCUAGCAGCGUUGCAAUUACUGAAGACAAUUACCAGGCUAGUUCUAAGGAAAUACUUUCAGCUCAAGAUAGGUAACAAUAAGUUAUCAUGAAGGAAUUGCAUCUUUGCAGCAUGAAUCCAGCCCAGUUUGUUCCUCCUCACAGCACCUGUCAAGAAGAGUGCUUUGACUUUCCAGGAGACAAAAUGAAUUUCUUAGAUGCACCACUGAUAUCCCUCAGCAUUCUGCAGCCCAGCGCAUACAGCCUGGGGAAGUCUUGUAGAUCCUCCACAAAGCACUGACUCAAGGGAAGAAGACAUCUCUGAAUUCUGAGUUCGAAUAACCUGGGUCCAACCAGCAGGAGCUUUUUCUCUGUGAGAUUAAAUAUGUAAGAUUUUAUAACCCAGUUUAAACAUGUCCCAUGCAAAAUUCAGGAUUGGUUUUCAGUAUGUAAUUUUCCUUUAAUUUUUAAACAAGUUCUUGCAAUGAUGUUAAUUUUAUUAUCUGUAUUGAUGGAAUGAUGAAGAAAUCAAAAUACAAAAAUCUACAGAUAAAUUGAUAUUUAAUCAUUAAUCUAUUCCUGUCAAUGAAAUUUUAACCAAUCAUAAAUUUAAAUGUAAUCAGAACUAAAUCUGUCACUAUAUAAUUAGAUUGCUGAGUUGUGAGGUAGCAGAAAUCCAUUAUCUUUACAUAAACUUCUAGUUUCCAAGGCAAUUUAGUCUCUAAUCUCAUAAGAGCUGGCAGUUAAGUAAGCGUGUUUUUCUAUCAAGUUUAAUGUAGAGAAAAACAAAAUUCAAAAUGAAGGACAAAAAGAAAAUUAUGGAACAGUAACAAAAUUAAGUUAGUUCAAAAGUUUUUUUUUUAUUAAACAUAAAUUCUACGGGGAAAAAUAAUAAUACAAGAAUGUUUGGAAGAAAUUUUCAAUAUUAUUAGGACACUCCACUGAUGUAAGCGUUUUAAUCCAAUGCUUCUUAUCGUUAAUGAAUGGACUCUAUUAAUGGAGCCUCCAGAUACUUUCUUUCACUUUGCAAAUCUACUUACAGGAAGGUUUAGAAAUAAUGCAAAAGCAGCUUACAUGAAAAAGAAAUUAAAAGAACUGAUUUGGGAGGAAGGGAAAUAGACAACCCUCAUUUGCAUUUAAAGGAAAUCUAUUCCAUUGAUCUAGCUUUUAGCCAAACAAAAAGUAAAAAUAUAUAGAUUAGUAAAAAUAUAUAGAUUAUAGUUCUGCAAAUGGAGGGUUCAUUUUGAGCUACAUUGAUUUUCAAUUUAUGGAAUAGGUUGUGAUUAAAAAUAAAUAAACACCAUCCCAGCUCCCCGAAUUACGUAUUACUUUAAUGUAUUGAGUUUUUUUCCUUCAUGUGAAAGAGAGAAAAAACAACCAAACAAAAAUAAACAAACAAAAAACCCUAACAAACAAAAAAACCCAAAUAAAAUCCCCCCCCCAACAAACAAAGGUAAAAGCAGUUGUAUCUUUGCAAUGCAGGUAAAAAUUCUACUUUCCUCAUUCAUAUGUAAGGAGAAUUACCAUCUACUUACUGUUACUCUUUCACUGUACUUUUCCCAGUUCUCUACCUUUAGAAUUUGUAUUCCUUCCACAACCUUCAUUUCCAUCCCCAGUUUCUGCUCUCUAAUGUUUUUACUUACUUUGAAUCCAAAUGUGGGAUGCUUUGCAGGAUGGUUGAGUAUUAGAGAAUGCUAUAAGAAAUAUGAAACAAAUUUUUUUGUGUGUAAAUGUAAACUCGGAUACUAUACAAAAGUCUCAGAAAACUGCAGCUUACUGGUGUAAUAUUCAUCCCUCAAGAUGAUGAAUACUGACCAUCCCGCGGUUCAAGAGAGCUUAAGAAGGCAAAAGUGUAUAGAGGAAAUUAGAGAUAUAGUUCAUUAGAAAUGUUUUGUAAUGAAAAUGUGUCUCUUCAAUAUCAAAUCUCCUUGAUGUUACCAUUUCUCACCAAUCAGCUUGUUCAUCAACCAGGAUUAUUGUUGGCCUUGUUGUUAUUAUUUCCUCCAAAGUCUGUAUGACAAUACCUUAGGACACUAUGAAAACCAGUUUUCACAAAUGAGUAGGUACUGGACAACUAUUAAUCCAGAAACUUUAGACAAGACUGUCAAACAAA
rnacentral:lncRNA from 1 species